rnacentral:rRNA from 1 species
GCAGUAGCCGCGGGAAAACGGAGGGGGCUAGCGUUGUUCGGAAUUACUGGGCGUAAAGCGCACGUAGGCGGCUUUGUAAGUUAGAGGUGAAAGCCCGGAGCUCAACUCCGGAAUUGCCUUUAAGACUGCAGAGCUAGCAGGUGAGAGAGGUGAGUGGAAUUCCGAGUGUAGAGGUGAAAUUCGUAGAUAUUCGGAAGAACACCAGUGGCGAAGGCGGCUCACUGGCUCAUACUGGACGCUGAGGUGCGAAAGCGUGGGGAGCAAACAGGAUUAGAUACCCGCGUAGUCCCUGUCUCUUAUAC